rnacentral:rRNA from 1 species
AAAUGAAUUGACGGGGACCCGCACAAGCAGCGGAGCAUGUGGUUUAAUUCGAAGCAACGCGAAGAACCUUACCAGGACUUGACAUCCCUCUGACAGGACCUUAACCGGUUCCUUCUACGGACAGAGGAGACAGGUGGUGCAUGGUUGUCGUCAGCUCGUGUCGUGAGAUGUUGGGUUAAGUCCCGCAACGAGCGCAACCCUUGCCAAUAGUUGCCAUCAUUAAGUUGGGCACUCUAUUGGGACUGCCGGGGACAACUCGGAGGAAGGUGGGGAUGACGUCAAAUCAUCAUGCCCCUUAUGUUCUGGGCUACACACGUGCUACAAUGGCCGGUACAGAAAGAAGCGAAGUCGUGAGGCGGAGCAAAUCUCCAAAACCGGUCCCAGUUCGGACUGCAGGCUGCAACUCGCCUGCACGAAGUCGGAGUUGCUAGUAAUCGUGGAUCAGAAUGCCACGGUGAAUGCGUUCCCGGGUCUUGUACACACCGCCCGU